UAAAACAAAGUUAGAAGUUGCAUAUGGGAACUCAAAUUAUAUUUGAGUUCCAAGAAACAAAUUUUGUGUUUGUGCAAAAGUCCUCUAUCUAUUUCUAAUUUUUGUGGUCUUCCUAUGAUGAUUAUAAACUAUUCUAUACUCUAUCUCUUCUAAGUUUAGAUGAGUGAAUCUUGCAGCUUUCAUAAAUAAGUACAUGGUACUCGACACUUCCUGAAAUGUAAAAAUAAUUCAUAUUAGAUAAUUAUAUGAUAUCAAAAUUUGACAUACAGAGAGAAGUGCUUAAUUACACUCCAAACUGGUACAAGUCACUUUGUACUCAGUGAGUAGGACUUUAAAAGUGACUGAGUUAGGAACAAGGAGUGUCAUUUAGGGAAAGCUUUUGGUUAAGAACUGCUUUUGAAGAUGGUGAGGAGGAAAACACUCUGUUCAUAGUGGGUCAAGGUGACCUAAUGAUUUCUAGUGAGCCCAUAGAACUCUCUAAGUUUCGUCCAUCCAACAAGUAAAGUUGGGCUCACCAAAUCUUGGUUGUAUGUGACAGAGUGCAUGUUGUCACUAGAGUAUAGCAAAUGCCACGUAGGCUCUAGUUUAUCUUUCCAUCUUAUAGAAAAUGACUUACUCACUUCACCAUAAGGCUACAUUUAACAAACAAAUUAAUAUAAGCAAAAGUACUAUUAUAUAUCAAGUCAUGUUUAAUUAUUUUACAAUAGUCUUGAAAUAAUUUCUAACCUGAUCAAUAACAUGAACAGUGUUGAACAUUUCAUCUGAUUCUUUGUUAAUCUUCAUCAUUAUGUUAGCCAUUUCCUUUCAGUUUUGUUGAUGUUCAUCCAUGAUUUCGAAACUCCAUUUACAAUAUAAACAUAACAUUAAUAUGCAUGAUACAUUUGACAUACCAAUAUAAUACCAAUAUGAUAUCCCAAUUUUGGGUGCCUAAGACUGUGGCAGAAUUCUCAGACUAGCACAAAGUCUCAUUAACGCAUUUACACACAAAACCGUGCAAACCAGAAACAAAACUGUGCAACCAAAGCCUAUUUUCUAGCAGUGUGUACAUGGAGCUACUACCAUAUACAUGACCUAGAAGGCCACAACUAUAUACAAUAGGAUGCACUACCAUAGCUUAAAAACACAUGUAUAAUUUAACUUCCAUGGUAAUAACCGCAAACCAAGCAAAAAUAAAAAACAAACAACAACACUACCAUCGCUUACGAACACAAGCUUCAUUAGAGAAUCACAAUAACAACAACACUAACAUUUACACCAUUAUCAAUUUCAGAGAGCAUAUUUUCAGACAUAAAGCAAAUGCGUUGUGAUGCCAUCACCACCUCACCCGCGAUUUGUCUUCUCGAAACCAAAUAGAGCUUAUUCGUCGCGAGGUAUGGAGAAGACAAAACACGACUAAGGUGGUGACGGCUAAACGUUGGAAUGUGAGGGAGAGGAGGCACGAGGAAGAGGAUGUGCUAAUGAACUUACCUACUAAAGGAGAAAACAUGGCAAAAAAGCGAAGAGGUGUGAAUAGGAGAACAGGCAAGGAGGCGAACAGACAAGAAUGCGAGGAAGAGUGUGCUCGAGAGAAAAUAUGGCUCAUAGGCACUACUAAAAAUUGAGCUUUUUACGUCGCUGAUUCUAAGACGGUUGUCAAGGACUGUCUUAGAAAGUGCAAUGGUGGUGUUUUCGUAAUUAACUCAAAUGUAAUGACAACUUUUCCGCAUGAUCAUCGUUGAUAAGGAAUUUGGUGGGGAACGUGUCAAUUUUUUAUUUUGAUACAAAGACGGUCUUAUCCUCACGACCGUCUUUGUAUGCUUGGUGCCACUCUCUCACCAUUUAAACUCUAACCAUGCCCUACAUUCUCUCACUGCAACUCACCAUCUUCUUCACCCACUCUCUCUCUCUCCCACUCUCCCUUGACUGACCAACUCGGUGAAUCAACUCGAUGGCCUCAUCCUUACGUGCAAGGAGUAGCUCGCCAUUCUCGCACCGCAAACCCUUAACUCCUCACUCCUCAGCUUCCUCUUCCACUUCUUCCUUCACGAAUGGACGCAUAAUGCCUCGCUCCUGUUCCCCUUUGACGUCGUCGUUUUACAACUUUGGUGGCGGUGGAUGAUCCAUGACUCCGAGUCACGGUCAUAGCGAGUCUGUCUACUACGGCUACGGUAAUCCUUCACCAGUGGAGUUCGGGAUGGACGAGGAGGUGAUCACGGAGCCCAUUGAUUCAUCCAGAGCUCGGGAUAGCAUUUCGGUCACGAUUCGGUUUAGACCGUUGAGGUAAUGCUUAGAUCUGUGGCUAUGGAAUCAAAUCCAUUAGCUGUGGAUUUUAGAGAAACUGAAUCGUUCGGGUUGUUUCUAUUGUUGUUGCGUUGACUUAUCUGAGAUCAAAUGAGAGGUUACGGUGUUGUUUGGUUGCAGUGAAAUAGAGUACCACAGAGGAGACAAGAUCGCUUGGUAUGCGGACGGUGAUAAGAUUGUGUGCAAAGAGUAUAAUCCAGCUACUGCUUAUGCAUUUGGUAUUUUCAUUUCAAACUUUGUUUUCUUCACAUGAUUUUUUUAGGGAACUAAUGGAGAGCAAUUAGGUUUUUGCUUUUGGUGUUGAGAUUAUGGAAAUGGAUCAGAUGUUAGAAUUUUGAAUUGAUUUGUGGAAGAUAAAGUGUUUAGACCGUAUACGAAUUCCGAUGAGGUGUAUGAAGUAGCUCCCAAACCUACGAUUUUUAUGGUUGAAGAGAUAUUGUUAUAUUUGACAUGAUGUGGAUUAUUUGUUUUAACUUUGUAGCAUAUUGAUUUACAAGGUGCUUUGAUAAAGAGGUAUCUGGGUCUAAAAACUCUUAAUCAAAGAAGAAAAUGCUUAACCAAAAGAAAAUCAAGGGUAUGUAAUCAUUUUGUGUUGGUGCCUAAUCAGUCUUGAUAUGAAAUAAAAGGGUACAAAAUUGGAAAUUGGUUGCUUCUCAUGAGACUGAAUAGUUAUUCUUGAAGGUUGAUGCUACUAUCUUCUAAAAGGCUGAAGUGUAUCAGCACUAGAGCUUUUGUUUGCAUUUUCUUGGACAAGGGACUCCAAUAAGUGCUACUGGGCACCAUGCGCCACUAUGCUGAGUUACCUCUCUCUUUUACAUCGACACUUGCACUUAUACAUCUUUGGGGGAACUUAUGUGGAGGGUAUGAAGGAAGAAGUUGUUUUGUCUCCUGGACAUGCCCUUUCCUUUAUUGCUGCUGGGGAAGCUGAUGGCGCAAAUUCUGCUCCAUGGGACUCUUCAUGCCACUAUUUAUGAAGUCGAUAAGCUCAAAAUUGGUGGAGGCAACUUUUUAACCAAGAUGACUAGGUGAACUGCUUUAAGGAAUAUUGUGCUGAAGGACGUCGAGACACAACGCUCUGAUAGGAUGUGACAUUGGGGUAUAAGGUUUUAUAUUAAUUGUAUGAAGUCUCAGACGGCCUUGUUCGAGCCGAUGACUUUAUUAUUUAUUCGGACAAGUUUGAAUAUGAUGUAGAAGAAAGGGAUUGUGAACCUUUUAUCCCUUUGAAAGGCUUGUAUUUAAAAAUGUUUUAAAAAAAAUACUUUUAAUUAAUAUUUGAAUUUUUAUUCCUUUGUUAGUAUAUAUGUGAGGGGUAGAGGGUGUCACAUCUUACACAAGAGGACUAUGCGGUAACUGUUUUUCCAUACUCACUUCAUCUCCAUCUUCCCCCUUUACUUAUGGAUUUCUUUAUUCGGUUGUCAUUCUGAGUUGCAUCAUAAGCUUUAUUUUUUUUAUAAUAAUUUAUUUUCUUUGGUGCAGCUGUAUGCAGUGCAGUUUCAUCUAUUAGUCACAUGUAUUUUAUUUCUUAGCCGGGAGGGCUUUCAACGAGCAUGCUUGCGGAAAAGUGUAUGUUAAAGAAAUUGUGCCCCUCACUUCUUCUUAAAUGUUAGAUGUACAAUGAAAACUGACUGAAUGAGAAGAGUUGUUUGUCUGUUAGUCCAUUAGGCUAGCUAGUUAGUUAGAAGAGAAUGGCAACAUAAAUAGGCAAAAUCAGAUUGUGGGGAGGGCAUUCACUGUAUUUGACAGGUUUAUGAGUGAUUAGGCUUCUUCCAUGCUUGAUGAUGAAGGAUUUGUUAGUUCUUUUGAUGCCCCUUUGAUUAUGCUUGUAUGGUUGUGGGCUACUUUUUGCAACAUGCUUCAAAAGGAAAAUGAAUUUUGUGUUAGGUUUAAAGCUACUGAUUCAUAAGUGAGUGCUAAUUGUUUAAUGAUGCUUUGGAUAAACAAUGCUAUUGGCUGGAGAACAAAUAUGUGCGGGAAUUAUAUUUAAAAACCUGUUUAUAGUUUUCUUGAAAGAUCUAGUAAAAAAUUGAAUUGAGUCUCUCAAUUCUUUGAUAGUUUAGAAUACUAUGUAUUUUAAAAAAUAUUAUAAUUCAAAUAAUGUGAAUUAAGGGUUUAUAUCUUUCAUUUAUUUUAUUUUCUUAAUUCAGUUUUCCCACACUCGAGUGAGCUUCAUUUGUAAUAUGUAUUUUCAUAGAACUUGGUCUUACUUGAAUUACGGCUGAAGGACAAUAUCCAGGAAAAAACAAGAAAUUGGGAAACGGCGUGACAGAAUCUCUGAAGUUAGUUUUGUUGAUUGGUAUGUAUUUUCAUUUAAUUUCAUAUUUUUUCCUGGAUACAUAUUUCUUAGUUUUCCUGUUAUUCAGUGAAAAGAAAUUA